rnacentral:rRNA from 1 species
GCUCAGAACUUAAGGAAUUGACGGGGCCGCACAAGCGUGGAGUAUGUGGUUUAAUUCGAUGCAACGCGAAGAACCUUACCUGGUCUUGACAUCCCGGAGACCCUUAGGAAACUAGGGGGUGCUUCCAUCUGGAAGAAUCUGGAGACAGGUGCUGCAUGGCUGUCGUCAGCUCGUGUCGUGAGAUGUUGGGUUAAGUCCCGCAACGAGCGCAACCCUUGCCUUUAGUUGCCAGCAGUUCGGCUGGGCACUCUAAAGGGACUGCCGGUGUUAAACCGGAGGAAGGUGGGGAUGACGUCAAGUCCUCAUGGCCUUUAUGACCAGGGCUACACACGUACUACAAUGGCCGAUACAAAGGGCAGCGACACUGCGAGGUGAAGCCAAUCCCGUAAAAUCGGUCUCAGUCCGGAUUGGAGUCUGCAACUCGACUCCAUGAAGUUGGAAUCGCUAGUAAUCGUGGAUCAGCAUGCCACGGUGAAUACGUUCCCGGGCCUU